rnacentral:tRNA from 1 species
UGUCGCUGGUGGAGCCCGGGGACCUCAAACCCGGCAUGGUGAACGCGGCCAAG